UACACACGGAUAACAUACCGAAAGGUAUGCUAAUACGGGAUAAUAUAUUUGAGAGGCAUCUCUUAAAUAUCAAAGGUGAGCCAGUACAGGAUGGACCCGCGUCUGAUUAGCUAGUUGGUAAGGUAACGGCUUACCAAGGCGACGAUCAGUAGCCGACCUGAGAGGGUGAUCGGCCACAUUGGAACUGAGACACGGUCCAAACUCCUACGGGAGGCAGCAGUGGGGAAUAUUGCACAAUGGGCGAAAGCCUGAUGCAGCAACGCCGCGUGAGUGAUGAAGGCCUUCGGGUCGUAAAACUCUGUCCUCAAGGAAGAUAAUGACGGUACUUGAGGAGGAAGCCCCGGCUAACUACGUGCCAGCAGCCGCGGUAAUACGUAGGGGGCUAGCGUUAUCCGGAUUUACUGGGCGUAAAGGGUGCGUAGGCGGUCUUUCAAGUCAGGAGUGAAAGGCUACGGCUCAACCGUAGUAAGCUCUUGAAACUGGGAGACUUGAGUGCAGGAGAGGAGAGUGGAAUUCCUAGUGUAGCGGUGAAAUGCGUAGAUAUUAGGAGGAACACCAGUUGCGAAGGCGGCUCUCUGGGCUGUAACUGACGCUGAGGCACGAAAGCGUGGGGAGCAAACAGGAUUAGAUACCCUGGUAGUCCACGCUGUAAACGAUGAGUACUAGGUGUCGGGGGUUACCCCCCUCGGUGCCGCAG
rnacentral:rRNA from 1 species